rfam:Ovis aries breed Texel chromosome 13, whole genome shotgun sequence.
UCCCAGGUAGCUCAGCUAGUAAAGAAUCUGCUUACAAUGCAGGAGACCCUGGUUCAACUCCUGGAUUGGGAA